rnacentral:lncRNA from 1 species
UGGACUAUGAUUUCAUUAAAAAUUUAAAUUCAACAAAUCCUAACCUGACAUGUGGUGAGUUCAUUAAAAAUAAAAAUAAAAAACAAUAAAAACAAAAAACAAGUGAAAAUAUAUACCAGUUUCCUCUCUCAUCAUGUUUUCUUUUAUUGAAUACAAAUAAAGGACCUUUUCUCUUUCUCAAAUAAAAGCAAAGUAAAUAUAUUUGUCAAAAUGGAAAGCAGAGAAAAAAAUAAAAACGUAACAUGAAAAAUAAAAGAGUGUUUCAAAAGGGUGAUGAAGAGUCGCGGUUACUGCGCCGGUAUCGUGCAAAAUGGCGGUUCCGUUUCGCAUUUUUUCGUGUUUCAAAAAUGUGGUGAUGUUAUUGUGUGAGCCGAUAGUUUUUAUGGAGUGUUGAAGAAUGAAAUGAAAGUUAGAGGUGAGAUGUUGUAUGGCUUAUGGAAGAACGAUGAGAAAAAAAAUGAAGAGGUUAUGUGGUUGGAUUCAUGCGUGACAAUGUUUGUGAUGAAGUUGUUGGUUUGAAUUUUUGUUUGUGGUUUGUAUAAAGUGAAAUGAGGCAUGAAUAAUGGGUGGUUUAUGAUUUGUUUAAUGUUGUUGUGAAGAAAAGAGAGAAAUGUUAUGAAGGUGGUAUUAAUUGUGUGUAGUGAAGGGAAAUGAAAUUGUAGUUAUGGUUGGUGUGUGUUGUUUUCUUCAUUGCAAGUGAUGAUAUGUGAGUAGAGAAUGAGGUAGUUCAUGGUGAAAGGUGGAGGAACAAACUUUGAUGAAUGGUGGUAUGAAGGCAUACGAU